CGGCGAGUGAAGCGGCAAUAGCUCAAAUUUGAAAUCUGGCUCUUUUAGAGUCCGAGUUGUAAUUUGUAGAGGAUGCUUCGGCUUACGUUUCGGUCUAAGUUCCUUGGAACAGGACGUCACAGAGGGUGAGAAUCCCGUUUGUGGCCGAGACUUCCGCCAUGUGAAGCUCCUUCGACGAGUCGAGUUGUUUGGGAAUGCAGCUCUAAAUGGGAGGUAAAUUUCUUCUAAAGCUAAAUACCGGCCAGAGACCGAUAGCGCACAAGUAGAGUGAUCGAAAGAUGAAAAGCACUUUGGAAAGAGAGUUAAAAAGUACGUGAAAUUGUUGAAAGGGAAGCGCUUGCGACCAGACUUGCCCGCGGAUGCUCAACCGGUCCUUCGGCCGGUGCACUCUUCCGCGGUCAGGCCAGCAUCAGUUCGGGCGGUUGGAUAAAGGCCUUGGGAAUGUGGCUCUCUUCGGGGAGUGUUAUAGCCCUUGGUGCAAUACAACCUGCCUGGACUGAGGCCCGCGCUUCGGCUAGGAUGCUGGCGUAAUGGUCGUAAGCGGCCCGUCUUGAAACACGGACCAAGGAGUCUAACAUCUAUGCGAGUGUUUGGGUGUCAAACCCGUGCGCGAAAUGAAAGUGAACGGAGGUGGGAAUCUUCGGAUGCACCAUCGACCGAUCCUGAUGUCUUCGGAUGGAUUUGAGUAAGAGCAUAGCUGUUGGGACCCGAAAGAUGGUGAACUAUGCCUGAAUAGGGUGAAGCCAGAGGAAACUCUGGUGGAGGCUCGCAGCGGUUCUGACGUGCAAAUCGAUCGUCAAAUUUGGGUAUAGGGGCGAAAGACUAAUCGAACCAUCUAGUAGCUGGUUCCUGCCGAAGUUCCCUCAGGAUAGCAGUGACGUUUUCAGUUUUAUGAGGUAAAGCGAAUGAUU
rnacentral:rRNA from 1 species